rnacentral:tRNA from 1 species
AUUUAAGUAGUUUAAUUAAAAAUAUUGAUUUGUGAUAUCAAUGAUGUAUAAAUAUACCUUAGAUA